UCCCUGGUGGCUUAGCAGGUUAAAGAUUCAGCAUUGUCACUGCUGUGGUGUGGGUUCAAUUCCUGGCCCAGGAA
rnacentral:tRNA from 1 species